AAGUCGUAACAAGGUUUCCGUAGGUGAACCUGCGGAAGGAUCAUUAUUAGUUCACGAUCUGUAAAAAAAAAUUAUUUGAUAUGUAAUGUUCUCAUGUACAUGUCCUACAACUGUUUAUGGGCGCCUACGUUAUUGUAUCUCUAUACGAUGCUUUAAUCAGUACCUGCGAAUAAUAAUGAUUUAUUUGCUAGUGCCAGGCUUAAUAAGAUGUCAUCCUUAUUUGGACACUGCCCUUGACACACACCGUAUCAAUUUCUAUUUUUUCUAUUAUUGUAAUGCUUGCAUUAUAGUAAUAUCAUCCUUGAUCCAACUUGUUGUUGAAUUAGGUUGAUGAAAAUAUAAUAUGGAUCGCAUUUGCAUCUGUAUUCUGUACAACUUUAAGCGAUGGAUCACUCGGCUCACAC
rnacentral:misc_RNA from 1 species